AUUGAACGCUGGCGGCAGGCUUAACACAUGCAAGUCGAGCGAGCGGCGGACGGGUGAGUCAUGUCUGGGAAACUGCCUGAUGGAGGGGGAUAACUACUGGAAACGGUAGCUAAUACCGCAUACCAUCAGAUGUGCCCAGAUGGGAGUAGCUUGUAGGUGGGGUAAUGGCUCACCUAGGCGACGCUCCCUACCUGGUCGGAGAGGAUGACCAGCCACACUGGAACUAGGACACGGUCCAGACUCCUACGGGAGGCAGCAGUGGGGAAUAUUGCACAAUGGGCGCAAUCCGAAUGCAGCCAUGCCGGGUGUGGGAAGAAGGCCUUCGGGUUGUAAAGCACUUUCAGCGAGGAGGCGUUACUCGCAGAAGAAGCACCGGCUAACUCCGUGCCAGCAGCCGCGGUAAUAC
rnacentral:rRNA from 1 species